GAUGAACGCUGGCGGCGUGCCUAAUACAUGCCAGUCGAGCGAACAGACGAGGAGCUUGCUCCUCUGACGUUAGCGGCGGACGGGUGAGUAACACGUGGAUAACCUACCUAUAAGACUGGGAUAACUUCAGGAAACCGGAGCUAAUACCGGAUAAUAUAUUGAACCGCAUGGUUCAAUAGUGAAAGACGGUUUUGCUGUCACUUAUAGAUGGAUCCGCGCCGCAUUAGCUAGUUGGUAAGGUAACGGCUUACCAAGGCAACGAUGCGUAGCCGACCUGAGAGGGUGAUCGGCCACACUGGAACUGAGACACGGUCCAGACUCCUACGGGAGGCAGCAGUAGGGAAUCUUCCGCAAUGGGCGAAAGCCUGACGGAGCAACGCCGCGUGAGUGAUGAAGGUCUUCGGAUCGUAAAACUCUGUUAUUAGGGAAGAACAAAUGUGUAAGUAACUAUGCACGUCUUGACGGUACCUAAUCAGAAAGCCACGGCUAACUACGUG
rnacentral:rRNA from 1 species